UGAGUUGCAAACUCCCACCAUUGUGACUUACCUAUCGUUGCUUCGGCGGCGAGGCCCUUGCAAACGACCUCCUCCACCCCCUCGGUGGAUGCUAGCCCGUCCGAGGGCUUCCAAGCUAGUAGCAUAACAAUGGCCUCUCUGAAGUAGCUUAUAAAUAAGUCA
rnacentral:misc_RNA from 1 species